rnacentral:rRNA from 1 species
UGGGGAAUAUUGCACAAUGGAGGAAACUCUGAUGCAGCGACGCCGCGUGAGUGAAGAAGUAAUUCGUUAUGUAAAGCUCUAUCAGCAGGGAAGAUAGUGACGGUACCUGACUAAGAAGCUCCGGCUAAAUACGUGCCAGCAGCCGCGGUAAUACGUAUGGAGCAAGCGUUAAUCGGAAUAACUGGGCGUAAAGGGCAUGCAGGCGGUUAUACAAGUAGGAUGUGAAAGCCUGGGGCUCAACCUCAGAACUGCAUUCUAAACUGUGUGACUAGAGUAUUGCAGGGGGAGACGGAAUUUCAGGUGUAGCGGUGGAAUGCGUAGAUAUCUGAAAGAACACCAAAGGCGAAGGCAGUCUCCUGGGCAAAUACUGACGCUCAUAUG